UUAGUACUCCUUUUGUCCGGUAUUACUUGUCAUGGAAAUGGAUUUAUCUAGACAUACUUUUAGUUCUAGAUACAUACAUUCAUAUCCAUUUUUAUGACAAGUAAUUCAGGACGGAUGAAGUAUAUA
rnacentral:pre_miRNA from 1 species